UACGUAGGGACCAAGCGUUGUUCGGAUUUACUGGGCGUAAAGGGCGCGUAGGCGGCUUGGCAAGUGGAAGGUGAAAUCCCUCAGCUUAACUGGGGAACUGCGUCUGAUACUGGAAAGCUUGAGUGCAGGAGAGGAACGCGGAAUUCCAGGUGUAGCGGUGAAAUGCGUAGAUAUCUGGAGGAACACCGGUGGCGAAGGCGGCGUUCUGGACUGCAACUGACACUGAUGAACGAAAGCCAGGGGAGCAAACGGG
rnacentral:rRNA from 1 species